GAAUAUUGGUCAAUGGACGAGAGUCUGAACCAGCCAUGCCGCGUGCAGGAUGACGGCCUUCUGGGUUGUAAACUGCUUUUCUACAGGAAGAAAAAAGUCAUGCGUGACAAAUUGCCGGUACUGUAGGAAUAAGCACCGGCUAACCCCGUGCCAGCAGCCGCGGUAAUACGGAGGGUGCAAGCGUUGUCCGGAUUUAUUGGGUUUAAAGGGUGCGUAGGCGGGUCUUUAAGUCAGUGGUGAAAGCCCAUAGCUCAACUAUGGAAUUGCCAUUGAUACUGGAGGUCUUGAAUUCAGUAGAGGUAGGCGGAAUUGAUGGUGUAGCGGUGAAAUGCAUAGAUACCAUCAGGAACACCGAUUGCGAAGGCAGCUUACUGGACUUGAAUUGACGCUGAGGCACGAAAGCGUGGGGAGCGAACAGG
rnacentral:rRNA from 1 species